GCUUCGUAGGGCGGGUCUUGGCGCUUCCGGUCACGUCUCCCGCGCGUGCAACGUUCAGCUUCUUCUUUUUUCGGCGGUUACUGCACUGCCCGCUGUGGAGUGUGGGGCAGAAAUGGCUCGAGUUUGGAAGAAACAGCAAAGCUCUCUGUAAAGGAUCACGACUAACGUAUUGGAGUGUCAAAAUGACCAGACGAAAACCUGGAAAACGAUGGAGAAGGACUGGUAAUGAAGAAGACCCAAAUAAACGACCAAGACGGGCUGCACAAUUGGUGAGUAGCCUGGCAUAGUUGUGUUGCAGUAAAUUUGCAGCAGAUAGGAUAUUUAAUGCCUUAUUUUCCUCCCUGCAGUCAUCCCUCCCUGCAGCCGCCAGUGUUCAUGUGGAGACUGAUCAGCAAUAUUUAGGUAACUUAUGAAAUGUGUUGGUGUGUGUUUAAUGUUCAAAAGCCACACCCAGUCCCAUGCGCAGAGGAGAGAGAGAUCCUGAACAGAAUUAGUUCUGAUUAAGAAUCACAGGCCCUGUAAAUAGAUAGAUUAGUAGAUAGAAUGCAGUCUACAGUUGGUCAAACCAAGCAUGGCAAAAUAGCUUUCUCUUAUUCUCCUCUUUUUCUUUUUUUUAUCUUUUGAGUUUCUUACAAGAAGGUUUCUCACCCGAAAUCUGUUUCGGGUGAGAAAUCUGAAAAAUGUCAUUUAAGCAAAAUGAGACUCUAAUAUUGAUCUAGAAAAAAGGUGUGAACCACUGAUGUGUCCUCUUGUCUGUGUCAGGAGGUAGCAGCAGCGGAACACAGCAGGGGGGGGUGCCUCCUGGAGGAACCCAAAACGCUGCACUUCAAGGGGAACA
ensembl:lncRNA